GGACCAGAAUCAGUUCCUCUGGCCAGUGAGUGACAGCAGUGCUUUUAUUUUGGCAGGUCAGCAUCAUUCCAGCCACCAGCACAAGGCAAAAACAUGUACACACAGAGCACCUCCUGCCCAGAGCACCCAUCAGACAUCCCACCUCACCUGCUGACACAAUCCUUCAGCACCCACCAAAAUCAAAUGCAGCUAAUUGGAAGGUGAUGACAGCCAGGAGACUGCUGGAUUUACAUGCUAAUUCCUCUAUUUUAGCGUCACACAGCCCAAGUACAGCAGGCUGAACACCUUCCUGAGAAAAACAGGAUUUCUGCAUGGAAGGAGGAUGAGUACUAAGACACACACGUGAAUUCUGCAGCAGAAGGUAAAGAAUACUUUUCAUUUCAUUUCCCACUCCCCUUUCUUCAGGCUUAACUCC
rnacentral:lncRNA from 1 species